AUUUACAUGAGAAUGCCACCACCAAGUCAAUCCUUGCGUACUGAUUCGCCCGACGCGCUUUCCCGUCGCCCAGCUUCUCUUCUCCCCUCGUCCCCUUUCUCCCCCAUCUGUAACCCUAGGAGGGCGCCGCCGGCCGCUGCCACCCAUCCAACGCGGCGCCGGUGCUCCGCCGCGCCCCCGCAGGUUCCCCGUCCCAUACUCACUGCAUUCGCCACCCCAUCUCCUCCUUCCCCCGCCCAUCCUCAGCGCACCCGGACGCCCGAUCCUACCUCAGCUCCCUCCGUCGCUCGUCGCCGGCACCCGGUUGACCUGCUCCGUCGAGCUUGCCGCCGGAUCCACACCAGAGAGCUCACUUCUCCUAGCUCCCUUCCCAUGCCGGCUUCCUGUUCCUGGGCUAUUUCGAGUUUGUACAGUGUCUGGAGCUGCUCCCUGCUGCCGAACGAAUCUCUGCUCCCGUCAGAAGCUGUCUGCGGCUGGCUUCGCGAGAAGCAGGCUAUUUCCAGAAGCUGGAGAGGAUCCGAACGGGCCCUUACUCUCUUGAAACCAGAUUGAUUUUCUGCAUUACAAUCUCCCUCUUUUUUUUAUUCAGGCGUGAGGACAAAGAACCAAAUGUCUUGACCUCGAAGGGGCUGCUUGGCACUACAACACUGGAGGAGUCAAUCACUAACGCCUCCUCUCUGCUGCAGCCUACACUGCAUGAGGACAGAGAACCAAAUGUCCUGGCCUCGAAGGAGCUGCUUGACACUACAACACUGGAGUCAAUCACUAACGCUUCCUCUCCGCUGCAGCCUACACCGUAUUAAUCUCUCUCUCUCUCUCUCUCUCUCUCUCCGGGGAGAGAUGGUUGGUAAUUGCAGCCAGAUAUGUUGUCAUCCAAGGACGCUUCCUCCACAUGGGCAGAGGAGGUGACUCACUCGCUGACGCCGCCCAUUUUGGCCCGGAAACCUGCCGGUUGGAAUCAUCAAUUUUUCAUCAGAGUAGAUCUUGGGGGAUUUUUCCACACAUAUCCUGAGCUGGGUGGGCCGUUCCGGAGCUUGGAGGAAGCUAACAAGGCUAUACUCUGCCACCUUGAAAAACUACGUGAUCGGAAAAUGUGCACAAACGAUGGGCUUUCCAGUUCGGAGAUUGCUAUAUGAGAUGCUCUUCACUGGCCAGAUGGCACGAGGAAGUAUUCUUCGAGAUCCAAUCCGGAUGAAGAUCAUAUGGGGCUAUUGAUUCAAGCUUUGUUGGACAAGUACAAUGAGGAGAAUAAUCUUUUGGGGGAUGAUGCAUAUAAUGUUGAAAAUGUCGUGAGCUUCCAAGAAGUUUAUGAGGGCAAAGGUGGCUGGUACUAUCAUCUGAAUUGUACUAGAAAGACUAAAGGUGGCGUCGACAAUCUCUUCUUUGCCGAAGUCUUGAGAAUGAAUAGAGGACUACAAUUCAAGCUCACCUGUCUCCAUAUGGUUAAACCUGCUGUUGAUAACGGUACAUGCUAUGGUUGUAAAAAAACCAAUGUUAGUAUGAAGCACCCCAUUGACGCUGGUAAAUACAAAGGUGGCCACGAUCCCUUGUGGCCACCACGGCUUUGCGUGGUUCUUCCACCGGAUUUGCCUGAGGGUUUUGAUGCUAAGAUGAAAGCUAUGGAGGAAAGGAUUAGAUAUCAAUUCCAGGACUGAUGUGUUGAUAUCGGAUGCUGGAAGAACUGUUGCUGCUGAUGGUUUGGACAAGAGCCAGCUGGGAAGAAGGGGCUUCCCAGCUGCUGAUGCUAGGAUUAACAAGGAAAGGAUUGGAUAUGUAUACGGGGACCGUGAUGUGGCAAAAUCGGAUGCUGGAAGGCCUGCUGCUGGUUUGGAGGGAAAUUGGGGCACGUACGUUAUACCGCCGAUGCGUCUGAAGGUUUGAGAAGAUGGACCUGACUGUCUAUCAGUUUGGAAUUACUGUCCGAUGGUCUAACAAAAAAGUGGUUAUGGGACAGUUAAAGUUUUAUUUUGCAUGUCUUUGAAUCACGUAGCUGGAUCAUCGUUUUCUAGCAUGUGUGGUACAUCCAAAUAUGCAAGUAAGACGAAUUGCAAGUUUUAUUUUGCAAGACUAGCCUGGCGUAAAUCCAAGUUGUUAGGUUGGCUUUUAAACAGCGACGCACAUGUACAGCUCCCAAAUUUGGUCCUUGACCAAUCUUGUAUAAGAAACCCUUAAAUAAACGGCGACGCACAUGCACCGAAUAAUCUGUACUUGCCAAUUAAUUAGAAAAUGCUUGUGUCGCUCACACUGGACGCAGCGCGGGCUGUAAAGGCACCUGGUCCCCAUGUUGGGCCCACAUGUCAGACACAGCUCCGUCCGUCAGGCCUCAUUUGGUACAAGGGGAUUGAGAGGGUUUCUAGAGGAUCAACCCCGUGGGGCUCAAAAACCUCUAAAACCCCGACGGUCCAUUUGUUUCACGUGGUCAAAGCGACGAUGCCGCCCCGCCGCCACCAAGAGGAGGCGCCUUGCCGACGGGAACUAGGGUUUAUGCCACCGCACCGCCGCUCCCUCCCCUUCUCUACUCCCCGAGCAAAGGCGGGGACUAGGGUUUACACCGCUGCGCCACCACCACCUCCGCUUCUCCGCUCUUCCUCUCUGGCGACCCCAGCCACCUCCGAGGCCCUCCUGUUCGUCGAUAUGCAUUGCCGCCCUAGCCCUUCGCCACGGAGCCCAAGCUUGCUUGUCCCCUAGCCUCUUUCGCGCUCCGCCAGCAUCAACCUUCUCCAUGCCUCGCGGCCAUCAGCCUCCUUCACACCUACCGAAGAGCUGGUAUUUUCCCCGAGAUCGAUGUUUUCAUGCAGAGUUAUUACGAGUUUGCUUUUGGCCUUCUUUUAUGUGGACUCAAGAUCGAUGUUUUCAUGCAGAGUUAUUACGAGUAUUUGUUGCUUCCAGGCUGGAGUUAGAUGGUAACAAAGGAAAGAGCUCAAUUGCCAAUGGCAACAUAAAAUGCAGCCACCGAAAUACAAACAUGGCUACCACCUAUGUUAAACUUUGGUUGUAAUAGAAUAUUAUGAGGACAUGUUGUUCUUGUAACAAAAUAAUCUGGGAGUAACCUGUUCUUGUAACAGAAUAUUGUGAGGACCGACAUGGUUAGAGUUGUUAAACUAGCAAAGAUGAGAUUUUUAA